UCCUGGCUCAGGAUGAACGCUAGCGGCGCGCUUAAUGCAUGCAAGUCGAGCGAUGAGGCUCCUUCGGGGGUCAUCAGCGGCAGACGGGUGAGUAACACGUAGGUGACCUACCCUCGAGACGGGGAUAACGGCUGGAAACAGUCGCUAAUACCCGAUAGACUUACCAGGUCAAAGCGGUAAGAAAAGCUACGGUGCUUGAGGAGGGGCCUGCGGCCCAUCAGCUAGUUGGUAGGGUAACGGCCUACCAAGGCGAAGACGGGUAGGGGGUGUGAGAGCACGAGCCCCCACAAUGGGACUGCGACACGGCCCAUACUCCUACGGGAGGCAGCAGCAGGGAAUAUUGCACAAUGGACGGAAGUCUGAUGCAGCGACGCCGCGUGAGUGAAGACGGCCUUCGGGUUGUAAAGCUCUUUUACGGGGGACGAGGAAGGACGGUACCCUGGGAAGAAGUGUCGGCUAACUACGUGCCAGCAGCCGCGGUAAGACGUAGGACACAAGCGUUAUCCGGAGUUACUGGGCGUAAAGCGCCUGCAGGCGGCCUGGUAAGUUGGACGUGAAAGCCCCGUGCUUAACGCGGGGAGGUCGGACAAUACUGCCAAGCUAGAGUGCGUCAGAGGGGAGUGGAAUUUCCGGAGUAGCGGUAAAAUGCGCAGAUAUCGGAAGGAACACCAGUGGCGAAAGCGACUCCCUGGGGCGCGACUGACGCUAAGAGGCGAAAGCUAGGGGAGCGAACAGGGAUUAGAGACCCUGGUAGUCCUAGCCCUAAACGAUGGAUGCUAGGUGUGGGACGUAAAGUUCCGUGCCGGAGCCAACGCGAUAAGCAUCCCGCCUGGGGACUACGGUCGCAAGGCUAAAACGUCAACGAGUUUGACGGGGACCCGCACAAGCAGCGGACCGUGUGGUUCAAU
rnacentral:rRNA from 1 species